UUCCAGCGAAGGCGACCAUUAUUGUCUUCGUAGGUUCUCUACCCUGCAUAAAAAUGCCAGACUGAAACCUACCGAGUCUGUCCCGUUGGGAUUGAUCGCCAGCGAUAUCUAAGGUCUAACGAACUCCGUUGACUUAUGAUAAAUUGUGGUAUGCUCUCGAAUCGCGGCUAUUAUCCGUUCUGCCCCUCUAUUGUCUGCGUCAGCUCUGUAUCGAGGCUAUUCUCGCCCGCGUCAGUCUUCAAGAAAAACCUAAAGAAAAAGCCGAGACAAGCUAAAGUAGGGGCAGUCGUUGGGGUCUUCUCGAACUGACGAAACGCAUGCUUCUGAUCCUCAUUCCACGACCAUUUCCAUUCUUUAGGAGCGCCGUCAACUGAUCGACUGGGCUCGAAACACACUUACCACGAUGUCAUCCCGAAGCACUGUCGCAACUCCUUGCAAUUAUUUGGGUCCUUUACCUAGAUAAGUCCGAGGUCUUUCCCGUCUCAUCACGUGUCCAAGGCAGACCAGCAAUACCUUGCCUCCGCUUUCUUGGUCCCUUUCCAGGCCGUUUCGCCAUCCCAGAAGUGAGAGACCUUCUAUCGGCUUUUGACCGAGGUUGGAUUCAGGAAGUGCUGUUACUGUCGCAAUGACCAGUUCUGCAAUGCCGCAAUGCACAACGAACUUCCAUGCCUAGGAUCCCACCAUGGAGGGCAUAAUGACCAUCAGACUGACGAUCACCUUCCAAGGCAAGCCGACCUCUAACCCAACGUUUGUUGUUUUUCUACGUGGGUGUGUCCACGCCACUGCCCGUUUCCCGCUCCUAAGCGCCGGCAACAAGCUAGGCAGAGCCUGUUCCCAUAUAUCAAACAGAAUACAAUACGCGCUGGCGAACUGUUUCUUCUACACACCCCUAUUAAAUACCCAUUGCGCAUCUAACCCCAUUCCGGCGUAUUGCCUCGCCAUUUGACGCGCGACAUCCGCAUGAGCCAUUGCUGGCAGGGCGGGGACCCUUCCACUUGCAACAUUUGUAAGGUCGGUCUCUUGAGCAUAAUGGAUUGGCAAUGACGGACCUUAAGAAAAAUAUCAUCGACUAAUAGAAGGUGCACAACUGUUGAUAUAUGUCGCGGUGUGUUACUACUCGCAUUUCUACAUCUCUCUAUUUCUACAAACUUAUUCUGACCGCUAGGUUAUUCCUUCCUUUGGACGGACUUUAUCGCCGAAUGUCAGAAGGUUAAAAGGCAGGGCUUUUGACGUUUACCCCACUGGUUACCGAGCAUUUGGGAGGAAUGGUAAUAGCCAUAAAUGCAGGUUUUAAUCUGUCGAUCGACAAUACAAUUCUUUGCCAUUGACCCGCACGACGAAGAUGGAUAUCACCUCAUACGGUCCUGAGUAUGGAAGCACCAACAGCUGCUUUUCCGCGUCAGUCUUGACGAAUACUAGAGAGCAUAUGUAUGGCUUUGUGCAGAGAGAUUUUCGACUUGCUAUGAUGCGAAGCUGGAGUCGGACUUGUUGGUACGAAACUGACUAACAAACUGCCAUUGAUUCAACAAUGCGCUCAGGACAUUGAAAUAUUCGUUGGAGGGGUAAAGUGUGCACCCGUAUAAUAAUUCAGCACUGCCUCCAGCCAGCGAGAGAACCAGUCGAUCAUCAUCACGCAAUUCCUGUAAUCACCUACCAAGGGCAUCACGACAAUCUCGAGUUGUAUAUGGUCCAUUCCAAUAUGUCAUUACGCAUCGCUGGCCAAACAUAAUUAGCACAAAUUUGUUGGACUGUAGACCUGCCAGUAGGAUGAGAGAGUCGGUGAACAUUUGAAAAUAUGUGCAUCUAAAUUUUUCUAUAAUAUAUGGUCUAGGAAUUGCUGUCGGUAAUUCGCAGUACAGAAAAGUUUGCACAUUGCCUUGCAUUGACUGUAGUUGUAACGACGUCUCUCCUUUAAAAAUACGUAUCUGUUCACUGUCCGUUGCUUGGGCCGCUUUAAUGCUCCUUGUGUCGAUCGUAGUCGGCAUCGUCGUUACAUUGAUCCUGGCAGGCACGUCUGCUGCCGUUUACUUGUAGGAUCUUUGUGGAGUACUGGGAGAUAAAUCCUAAUUGGCGUAGUUGGGCGAAUGCGUAUAUCAGCAGCGUGUGAUCAGUUCUUAUUACGAAAACCCUUGCGUCUAGCAUGUGCUUGCAAUACUUAAUUGUUUCAUAGGUUACUAGUAGCUCCCUGUCAUAUGUGCUAUGACUGCCUUCCGUUGCGCUUAGUUUUUUUCGAAAAAAAAAGUAGUAAGUAAAAAAGCCGUCGUGUACCUCUAUUGUAUUGCACCAUUACCGCACCGAAGGCUAAGUCGGAGGCAUCCCGAGUCAGAUCGGCGUGUGGAGAAGGAUGAGCGAGAGUGGUUGCAUUUGCAAUGGUGGCUUUCCAAUUUGCGAAUGCAAAUUAUACCGCUGCCAUUAACUGUGUAACUUAAGAACAAUAUCUCAUUUAAUUUGAAAAUUGCAUUUUUGUCGAUAAUCCUGAAGCUUAUGCGCCUGAACUGAGUUUGACAUUAUCGAGAUGUCGUCUAUGUAGCAGAACACAAGGUCGAUAUCUCGGAAAAGUUGGUCUAUGAAACGCUGGAAAGGUUUCGUUGCAUUUUUGAGUCCAAAUGGCAUGUAUACAAAUUCAAUCAAACCAAUCGGAGUGCAUACUGCUGUUUUCUCAAUGUCUUCUGGUGGCAUCGGUAUCUGAUAGUAUGCGCGUUCCAAGUCUAAAGUUGUGAAAAUAUAUAUGUGAGGUAUCGGAUAACGAUCAGGAGAUUUUAUCGCGUUUAGCUUCCUGUAAUCGCCACAAGGCCGCCAACCAUCACUGGUUUUUGCUACCAUAUGCUGCGGGCUUGCCCAUGGACUUUUGGAAUAGCGACAGAUUCCUUUGUCGAUCAGUUGAUGGAUUUGUGGUUUCGCUGAUGCCAAUUAUUCUCUCCCAUCAGUCGCCGUGGACGAUAUGCUACUGGUGCUCCAGUUGUGAUGAUGUAGUGGCAAACUGCAUGUGAUGGGCGAGUUUUGUGUAAGUUGUUGACCAUGUUGACAGCCUCUGUAUGUUUUGCGUGAGGGCUAUGACUGUGUGAUUUUCGUGCAUUAUUUGGGGUUUCGUGUGGAGAUAAAACCUUGUUGCUUGAUAUCUAUGAGCAAAUUUGACUGUAACAGAAAGUCAGCGCCAAAUUUUACCAUUUGCACGUCAGCAAUGAUAAAUGUUACGGAACUGCUUGUUUCUCGGUGGGCCGCGCCGGCUGGCUCAUCGGUUUCUCUGGGUGUAGUCCCAUCCCUGGCCCGCAGUCCGCACAAUCGAUAACAAUGAAGCUACACGCCUGUAGCAAAACAGACUUACAUAACACUAUGCAAUGCGAACAACAUAUCGAUAACGUCAAGCAAUCGGAACUUCUAACUCAUGAACAAAAUAAACAGCUGUAACAACUAUGAACAUGUAAACAACAAAGAUCGGGCCCCGGUUCCGAACCCAGCGUACCCAACCAUGAGACGAUCACCUACUCGUCUCCCACGUUCUGCCAUUAGAUGGCCAUCAGCCUGUGCCGGCUGUUAUGCCAACUCUCCCCAUCAAAGAAAAUUUAGCCGGACAUUUUUCUCUUCAGAUACGGUUAUCUUCAAGCUGUUAUUUAUAAUUUCGUACUCGCGAACAUUUCCGGCAUUUUAAUCCAGGUGCAUACGAUAAGCUGAAUUUCUUGUUCUUAUGGCGACCUUCGUAUGAUACCGGAGCCCACAAAAAAAAACCGCCAGAAAUUAUUGCCAGUCAACAAAGGAAAGGAAAACAAGGGGAGAAAUAUAAACACAGACGCAGAAAUCUUUUGGCCCUUUCCUUUACUUAAUUUAAACUAGUCGGAGCACAAUAGGAAGUCUGCGUCUGACUCUGCCGUUUACUCAGGCGAGGAGGCACGAAAUGGAACAGACUCACUCGGAUGAUAUGGGCGUGGUCUUGCCGUGCCUCUUCGUCGUGUGAGUCCCGUCCGUAAUGGCUCGUCUCUCCGUCGUGCUUUGAAAAUCCGGCCCGUGAAUAUCGGUUGAUCUGGAUAACGCUCUCCGGCGCGGGAUUCAAACGGUGUGUGCCACAGAAUGGCUGCGGCUGCUCUAACAAAGUUUCGCUUUUAUAGUAGUUUUAAAUGACGACAGUGUGUUUCGGGUGUAUUAUUGUUUCGCGUAUUAUCGCUCUUGGGCACUAUUUCUUUUGCAAUACGAAUCACAUAAGGAAUUAUCUUUGCAAUUAAAUAAUAAAGAAAGCCCGUCAUGAACAAAUGUA